UAGUAGCUUAGCAGAAUAAUAUGCGUUUGACUUAGGAUCAUUUGAUAACUUUAGGUUAGCUAUUAA
rnacentral:tRNA from 1 species